rnacentral:rRNA from 1 species
GCCAGACUCCUACGGGAGGCAGCAGUGGGGGAUAUUGCACAAUGGGGGAAACCCUGAUGCAGCGACGCCGCGUGAGUGAAGAAGUAUUUCGGUAUGUAAAGCUCUAUCAGCAGGGAAGAAAAAAGACGGUACCUGACUAAGAAGCCCCGGCUAACUACGUGCCAGCAGCCGCGGUAAUACGUAGGGGGCAAGCGUUAUCCGGAUUUACUGGGUGUAAAGGGAGCGUAGACGGCAAUACAAGUCGGAAGUGAAAUACCCGGGCUCAACCUGGGAACUGCUUUGGAAACUGUAUGGCUGGAGUGCUGGAGAGGUAAGCGGAAUUCCUAGUGUAGCGGUGAAAUGCGUAGAUAUUAGGAGGAACACCAGUGGCGAAGGCGGCUUACUGGACUGUAACUGACGUUGAGGCUCGAAAGCGUGGGGAGCAAACAGGAUUAGAUACCCCAGUAAC